rnacentral:rRNA from 1 species
UACGUAGGGUGCAAGCGUUGUCCGGAAUUAUUGGGCGUAAAGGGAGCGUAGGCGGAUGUGCAAGUGAUAGGUGAAAUACCCGGGCUUAACCUGGGGAGGUCCUAUCAGACUGCACGUCUAGAGUAUGGUAGAGGAAGGUGGAAUUCCUGGUGUAGCGGUGAAAUGCGUAGAUAUCAGGAAGAACAUCAAUGGCGAAGGCAGCCUUCUGGGCCAUUACUGACGCUGAGGCUCGAAAGCGUGGGGAGCGAACAGG